CCCUUUAGCUUUUCAGAGAGUUUUCUAUAUUCCAUCAUCAGAAAAAUAAUAUUAAAUAUAUGAUAAUAUCCCCCACAAUCCUCUCCCUCUUCUUCUAUUUAAGACCCUCCCUUUAUCCUCUCUUCUCAGCAUGGAGCCUAGCAUCUACCGAAUGGUAUAGGCUCUCCCUUUAGUGUAUAGCAUGGUCUUCCAUGGUGGUUUUUUUUUUUUUCAGUUUUAAUUGUUUUUUCUUUUUGGUCCUUGUUUAAGGAGAGUGUACACAUUUUCUUAUGGUGCUCCACCAUCAGUUGAAGCUGCCAGCAUGAUCUUAAUUUUCCUUCUUUUUAUCAAGGAAAGAUCAGAUCAUAUGGCAGUUUCACCUGUUGCUGCUUGCACAAUCCCAAGAAAGAAAAAACCCUAAUUUCUCUCAAAAUGAAACCCUAAUUGCCACACCUUUCUUUUCUGCAAACACCACCAUUCUUGUUUUCUUUCAAUCCCUGGAAGCGUCUGUCAUCAUCUUAACCUCUUUGCGCAAAUUCAGGCUUAUCUGGAUUUCUGGGGAAUUUUUGUGUCUCGGUGCAGUUUUGACGAUAUCAAGAUCCCUUACUACUGCUUUGGUGAUUGAGCCUCGGCUAGGGCUUGUUUCUGAAGUGGGGUUUCUUUCAUAAUCCAACUACAGCAGGAUUACAAAACCAGAGAGAGAGAAGUGAACUUAAUUCACAUGCCCUGUGAAGGUGAGUUUGAUUAAGAGCUGCUGAUGUUUAUUCUAAAACUAUGAGGCUAUGAUCAAUAUCAUGUGAAGCUCCUUUCAGUUUUCAUGAGAAAAUGUUGUCUCUUCUCUCUCUCUCUCUCUCUCUCUCCCUGAGGGUUGCUUUCUUUCCCUCUAUCUUUUCUUGCUGGACUUUGGCCCUUCUGUUUUGGUGGUAAGCUUUAUGUGGACAAGAUUCCAUGCAGCUCUCAUUUUUCCAUUAAGUACCAAAGUAGUCAGAUACGUUACUAGUUUUGAUUCGUCCUACUCUUUCCAGAGUUUUUCCAUAUGUCAGCUAUCAUGCAUGAAGAAAAACUAAGUGAGGAUUCAUUGACAAGUACUCCUUACAUUCCAUUUGAAGAUGCUCUUGGGAAUUAGUCUCCAUAAAGCUAGAUCUUUGGCAUCAUUUUAAUUACUGUCUUCUGUAAGGGGAUCAAAUAUGGGUCAAAUAAUUCAUUCUCCGAAAGAGAAAUAUCGAUAACAGAAGUGGGCUGCCUCUGUAUCUAGGUGGGGGGCCCGGGCUAGCUGUUGUAGUAGCUAGGAGGAAAAGCAAGGAUGGUUUCCCUUGGGGCAACAUAAGGAUUGAACAGAAGUGAAAAUCCUUUUGUUUGAUUUUCAUGGUCUUACUAACGAGUUGCUGCAGUAAAUAAUGCAUGUACACCUAAAAGAGAUGGGAAAAAAUUACAUCAAAGUGAAAACAAAAACCUCAGAGGUUGGAUUGUAAGAGAAGCUGCCAAUUUUAAUUUGAUGUGAUUGUGAUGUUAUUGCUUACAAUGUUGAGGAGGAGUACUUUCUUUCAGUGCUUAGUACUUUGAUGUAAUAUCUCAUGCACAUUACAUGUUAUAUAUAUAUACAUUAUAUGCACAUGCAUGUCCAUGUUCUUAUAUCAAUUAUGUUAACUGAACUUUCUUUUUUCUA
rnacentral:sRNA from 10 species